rnacentral:lncRNA from 1 species
AGAUCAGUAACAAACCGCUGAUAUCCAAAUCGAUACCACAUGUAUUGAGUCGAGUUAUGAAUCACAUUACUUUCCAAAUAAAGACUAUGUGAAUUGAAUUAUUGUGUUGUUAUGUAAUUGAAUGUGUUUGUCGGUUGUGUAAGUUUAUCUACCAUUGCAUUCUUUUACGCAGUUAAUAUAUUUGAGUGUAUUCUCACCUCUUUCUUGUUUGUUUUGUGUUGCUUUAUAUAUUGUUGUACAGAUACCCAGGAGGAGUAAAUGUUGUUGUGAGUUGGAAGAUGGCCUUUGAG